rnacentral:lncRNA from 1 species
CAUAAAUAUUAAAGUGAACAAUGUAUACAUGCAUUCAUGGUAUGUUACAAGGUCAAGCAUUUUAAUAUCCAUAAAUAAAACAAAAAAAAGAUGUAAUGCCAAUUACAUACUUCUAUUUGGCCUGACAAUAUCAUUUCUAUCAUUGAAACUCAAAGAAAAGCAAUGAAUGCCCUCUCCGACACCCUGAGAGGACACCUCCUCCACAGCAAGAGGAAACUGUACAAAAACAAAUUUGACAUCUGUUUAACAAAUGCUAAGUAUAAUCCUGCAUAAACUAACAGAAUAAGAAACUGGUAGUGCAGCAUAAAACAAAUGAGAAGAGUUCUCAAAAUAACAACACCUCAAAAUGUGACUUUAUCCGGGUAUAUAUUUGGGAAAAUCAUGCAAAAUGUUACACCUUCCUGGGGAAAAACUAGUGACAUAAAUUACGGAAUGACAUCAUGGUAUCAGACAAAUGAAGAUUCAGCGAAUUUAAACUUCCAGUCAUUUACAAAGUUCAAAAAAUGACGUGGACAUCAAAAACUUCCAAUUAUAGGUGUCAGACAUGGUUUUCUAGGCCACACAUAUCCAUCAAUAGUGCAGUAAAGACUGCUCAGAGCCCAGUGCAUGUAUCAUCAUUCACUAUAACACUAAAAACAAUUUGCAACAUAAGACAAAAAAUAAAUAGACACUAUAACACUGAAAAGACUAAACAAUCCCUUAAACGACAUGUUAAAAUUAUAAAUAAAAAUGGAAUCCAAAUCCCUCGAAUCUAAUAACAAAAUUGCAAUGCCCUCAGAUCUCAUAGCUUAUAAGGAUCAUGUGUGGUUUGUUACAUUAGUUUCGUUCACAGCCUUCUUGCACCAUAGAAUAAAUAAAUAAUUAAUAUAUAUAUAUAUAUAUACACACGCACACAUACACAAAGAGAGAGUGAGAGAAAGAGAGAGAGAAUGGUGCAUGUCCGGCUAUGAACAAAACUAAGUUACCACUCAAUUAUCUAUUUGUGCAUCAUUGGGCAGCAACACCAUAAACGAUACUUUCAACAAAUUUUCGAAAUUUCAUUUCAGAGAGCAAAAAUGUGUGCCCCACAGAUUUAAAAAUACCAACACAUCAAAUUUGAAACAAAAUAGAUGAAAAAAGUAACCACUACUUCAUUUAGUUUCAGUUAUUGGAUAUAUACAUAACAUAAUAAUAGCAAAUGAAGUUGAUGAGAAAAUCAUGUUACAAAAAUGACACUGAUUUCUAGGCUACUUAAAUUUAUAACCAUCUACGUGGUUGAAGUGUUCAUGUAGAUAUCAACAACAUAAAAUUGGAAGUGUCAGACAUGGUUUUCUAGGCCACGCAUAUCCAUCAAUAGUGCAAUCAAAAAAUUGCUCAGAGCCCAGUGCAUAUAUCAUCAUUCACUGCAGUUUUAGAAUAAUAAGUAAAACCAACCCAAAACAAAUAAAUAAAAGAAGACCACACAUAAAGAAAACAAAACAAAAACAAAAGAUAAAUGAAUGCAAUGGAAAAGUAAAACGCAGAAUUUAAAUCCAACGGCAUAGAGAGGAUAACAACGAUGAAGGUUGGAAGGUGAUUAUGCAAACACUAAGCAGAUACUGUUGACUAAUCUGGGAAGUGUUAUGCAGAUAUAGCCGCUAACUAGGGUUUGAUUUAAC